GCCCUAUAAUUUAAUCGGUUAGAAUUCCAGAUUUUGAUUCUGGCAGUAUGUGUUCGAGCCACAUUGGGGCCA
rnacentral:tRNA from 1 species